rnacentral:lncRNA from 12 species
GGAAAGUGUCUUGGAGUCAUAUUAAUGAGGAUUCCAUGUUUGUGGUUAGGGGAAAUUCAGUCUUGUGGCUUAAGCAGCCUCAGGACUCUCAUUAAGUGCAAGAGGUUAAUAAUCUAAACUAGCAGUUAACUAGCUCUGGUCAGCAGAGCAUUAUUGCUUUUGGCUCAGGCGAGCUGAGCUGGUCCCUUGUCCUUUGCAGUGCCAGAAAUGCAGGUGGAGACCAAACCAGCUGAGGAGCUGCUGGAGCCAGGGCCUGGAAGAGCAGAGGUAGAAGAGGAGGAUCUGUGCGUGUCUGUGUGUCCAUCCCUCAGCCAGAGCAUCCUUACCACAGGAAAGCCACGGGAAUAUGGGAACCAAAAUGCAAAUCAAUAAAUGGAGCAGGAGAGAAACCACAAGCUGUGCAUUUCCAGGGAGGUUCUGUGGGAUGGAUGGAGGCUGCUGAGCAUGACCUAAUGCCUCAGGAAAAAUCAGCAACCACCGACCUCAGCAUCCAGGCAGCCUGAAUAUUGAACCAGAGGUCCUUGAGUAAUUGUCCUUUCUUCACUCCAGGGGUGAAAAGGGUACAUUAGACAUUCACCAGCAGCAAAUGGCACCUGACAUCUCUUUAAGUGAAAGUCAGCUCAGAAUUUUUUUUAAUG